rnacentral:rRNA from 1 species
AUACGUAGGUGGCGAGCGUUGUCCGGAAUUACUGGGCGUAAAGGAUGCGUAGGUGGAUAUUUAAGUGGGAUGUGAAAUCCCCGGGCUCAACCCGGGAACUGCAUUCCAAACUGGGUAUCUAGAGUGCAGGAGAGGAAAGCGGAAUUCCUAGUGUAGCGGUGAAAUGCGUAGAUAUUAGGAGGAACACCAGUGGCGAAGGCGGCUUUCUGGACUGUAACGGACACUGAGGCAGGAAGGCGUGGGAAGCAAACAGGAUUAAAUACCCUGGAAGUCCACGCCGUAAACGAUGGGUACUAGGUGUAGGAGGUAUCGACCCCUUCUGUGCCGUCGUUAACACAAUAAGUACCCCGCCUGGGGAGUACGGUCGCAAGACUAAAACUCAAAUGAAUUGGCGGGG